UCCACAGUCCAUAGGUACCCCCAACCCCAAC
rnacentral:piRNA from 1 species